UAAGGUGUGCGAGAGAACUCUGGUUAAGGAACUCGGCAAAAUGACCCCGUAACUUCGGGAGAAGGGGUGCUUUCUUAACGGAAAGCCGCAGUGAAUAGGCCCAAGCGACUGUUUAGCAAAAACACAGCUCUCUGCGAAGCCGUAAGGCGAAGUAUAGGGGGUGACACCUGCCCGGUGCUGGAAGGUUAAGGAGAGGGGUUAGCGUAAGCGAAGCUCUGAACUGAAGCCCCAGUAAACGGCGGCCGUAACUAUAACGGUCCUAAGGUAGCGAAAUUCCUUGUCGGGUAAGUUCCGACCCGCACGAAAGGUGUAACGAUUUGGGCACUGUCUCAACCAGAGACUCGGUGAAAUUAUAGUACCUGUGAAGAUGCAGGUUACCCGCGACAGGACGGAAAGACCCCGUGGAGCUUUACUGUAGCCUGAUAUUGAAUUUUGGUACAGUUUGUACAGGAUAGGCGGGAGCCUUUGAAACCGGAGCGCUAGCUUCGGUGGAGGCGCUGGUGGGAUACCGCCCUGACUGUAUUGAAAUUCUAACCUACGGGUCUUAUCGACCCGGGAGACAGUGUCAGGUGGGCAGUUUGACUGGGGCGGUCGCCUCCUAAAAUGUAACGGAGGCGCCCAAAGGUUCCCUCAGAAUGGUUGGAAAUCAUUCGUAGAGUGCAAAGGCAUAAGGGAGCUUGACUGCGAGACCUACAAGUCGAGCAGGGACGAAAGUCGGGCUUAGUGAUCCGGUGGUUCCGCAUGGAAGGGCCAUCGCUCAACGGAUAAAAGCUACCCCGGGGAUAACAGGCUUAUCUCCCCCAAGAGUCCACAUCGACGGGGAGGUUUGGCACCUCGAUGUCGGCUCAUCGCAUCCUGGGGCUGUAGUCGGUCCCAAGGGUUGGGCUGUUCGCCCAUUAAAGCGGUACGCGAGCUGGGUUCAGAACGUCGUGAGACAGUUCGGUCCCUAUCCGUCGUGGGCGUAGGAAAUUUGAGAGGAGCUGUCCUUAGUACGAGAGGACCGGGAUGGACGCACCGCUGGUGUACCAGUUGUUCUGCCAAGGGCAUAGCUGGGUAGCUAUGUGCGGAAGGGAUAAGUGCUGAAAGCAUCUAAGCAUGAAGCCCCCCUCAAGAUGAGAUUUCCCAUAGCGUAAGCUAGUAAGAUCCCUGAAAGAUGAUCAGGUUGAUAGGUUCGAGGUGGAAGCAUGGUGACAUGUGGAGCUGACGAAUACUAAUAGAUCGAGGACUUAACC
rnacentral:rRNA from 1 species